rnacentral:rRNA from 1 species
ACGUCAGAACUGUUUCGGUCUUCCAUCAGGGUUUCCCCUGACUUCAACCUGAUCAAGUAUAGUUCACCAUCUUUCGGGUCACAGCAUAUAUGCUCAAGGUACGUUCCAGUUAGAGGUAUAAAUAAUAUAAAUAUCAUUAUACAUAACUAUAUAGAACGCCCCGGGAUUGUGUUAAUUAUCUAUAAAUAGUUAAAAAACUAAUCCCAUUAUUAGUCAAGUUAAUUACGCUAGUAGGUUU